rnacentral:rRNA from 1 species
AAUAUUUGACAACGGGCGAAAGCCUGAUCCAGCCAGGCCGCGUGUGUGAAGAAGGUCUUCGUAUUNUUAAGCACUUUAAGUUGGGANGAAGGGCAGUAAGUUAAUACCUUGCUGUUUGGACGUUACCGAUAGAAUAAGCACCGCCUAACUUAGUGCCAGCAGCCGGGGUAAUACGAAGGGUGCAAGCGUUAAUCGGAAUUACUGGGCGUAAAGCGCGCGUAGCAGGUUCGUUAAGUUGGAAGUGAAAGGCGCAGGCUUAACCUGGGACUUGCUUUAAAAGCUGACGAGCUAGAGUACGGUAGAGGGUAGUGGAAUUUCCUGUGUAGCGGUGAAAUGCGUAAAUAGAGGAAAGAACAUCAAUGGCGAGGGCGACUACCUGGACUGAUACUGACACUGGAGUGCGAAAGCGUGGGGAGCAAACAGG